UACGAAGGGGGCUAGCGUUGUUCGGAUUUACUGGGCGUAAAGCGCGUGUAGGCGGACUUGUAAGGUUGGGGGUGAAAUCCCGAGGCUCAACCUCGGAACUGCCUACCAAAACUACAAGUCUGGAGCAAGAUAGAGGCAAGUGGAAUUGCGAGUGUAGAGGUGAAAUUCGUAGAUAUUCGCAGGAACACCAGUGGCGAAGGCGACUUGCUGGGAUUCUUGCUGACGCUGAGACGCGAAAGCGUGGGGAGCAAACAGG
rnacentral:rRNA from 1 species